AAGCCAGCCAAUGUCUCUGCUUACCUGAAUGUGUUUCUGCCAAAAUUUUGAAAAGGCUGACAAUAGGAAAGCCGUGCUAUGAGCCUUCAGGAUGCUGAAAUCACUAAGGUCCCUGAAAAUGACUACAACA
rnacentral:snoRNA from 1 species